rnacentral:rRNA from 1 species
CAGGACGAACGCUGGCGGCGUGCUUAACACAUGCAAGUCGAGCGGUAAGGCCCUUCGGGGUACACGAGCGGCGAACGGGUGAGUAACACGUGAGCAACCUGCCCCUGACUCCGGGAUAAGCGGUGGAAACGCCGUCUAAUACCGGAUACGACCCGCCACCUCAUGGUGGAGGGUGGAAAGUUUUUCGGUCAGGGAUGGGCUCGCGGCCUAUCAGCUUGUUGGUGGGGUAACGGCCUACCAAGGCGAUUACGGGUAGCCGGCCUGAGAGGGCGACCGGCCACACUGGGACUGAGACACGGCCCAGACUCCUGCGGGAGGCAGCAGUGGGGAAUAUUGCGCAAUGGGCGAAAGCCUGACGCAGCGACGCCGCGUGGGGGAUGACGGCCUUCGGGUUGUAAACCUCUUUUACCACCAACGCAGGCUCGAAGUUCUCUUCGGGUUGACGGUAGGUGGGGAAUAAGGACCGGCUAACUACGUGCCAGCAGCCGCGGUAAUACGUAGGGUCCGAGCGUUGUCCGGAAUUAUUGGGCGUAAAGAGCUCGUAGGCGGCGUGUCGCGUCUGCUGUGAAAGACCGGGGCUUAACUCCGGUUCUGCAGUGGAUACGGGCAUGCUAGAGGUAGGUAGGGGAGACUGGAAUUCCUGGUGUAGCGGUGAAAUGCGCAGAUAUCAGGAGGAACACCGGUGGCGAAGGCGGGUCUCUGGGCCUUACCUGACGCUGAGGAGCGAAAGCAUGGGGAGCGAACAGGAUUAGAUACCCUGGUAGUCCAUGCCGUANACGUUGGGCGCUAGGUGUGGGGACUUUCCACGGUUUCCGCGCCGUAGCUAACGCAUUAAGCGCCCCGCCUGGGGAGUACGGCCGCAAGGCU